ensembl:lincRNA
AAAAAAAAAAAAGUAUAUGUUCCUCAUCAUUGUCUUCAGUGCUUUUCCAAGUAUUUUAAAAUAUCAGAGUACAUAUUUCAUAUUUCAUUAUCACUCAGCAGCAUGAGAAUAAUAGCCUUCAUAUAGCAUACAUAGCUAAAACUCAAACAUUCAUUUCUGUCCUUAAUUUCAACAUUUAACUCCCAUCUGUUCUUCUCCCUUUUUUCUUUCAUUUCCCUGUUUCUGUUUUUCCUCAUGCUCUGACAUUAAAGUGGUUGCGCUGAAAAGACUGCCCUUUUUGAGGAACAGACCGAAGGAUAAAGACAAAAUGAAGGCCUGCUACCGUCGUUCCAUGUCCAUGAAUGACCUGGUGCAGUCCAUGGUCCUAGCAGGACAGUGGACAGGUAGUACUGAGAAUUUGGAGGUUCCUGAUGAUAUUUCAAUGGGUAAAAGGAGAAAAGAAUUGGGAGCUAUGGCCUUCUCUACUACAGCCAUCAACUUUUCAACUGUCAACUCUUCUGCAGGCUUCAGAUCCAAGCAGUUGGUUAAUAAUAAAGAUACUACGUCCUUUGAAGACAUAAGUCCACAAGGUGUUAGUGAUGAUUCUAGUACGGGAUCAAGAGUUCAUGCUUCAAGACCAGCCAGCCUUGAUAGUGGCAGAACAUCCACUAGCAAUAGCAAUAAUAAUGCUUCACUACAUGAAGUCAAAGCAGGUGAGCAGUUAAUAACCAAAGCAGGCCAGCAAAGCCACAGCAGUGGAGAAUUUAGCCUGCUUCAUGACCAUGAGGCUUGGUCCAGCAGUGGUAGCAGUCCAAUCCAGUACUUGAAAAGACAGACCAGAUCAAGUCCAGUGCUCCAACACAAAAUAUCUGAAACACUGGAGAGUCGACAUCACAAAAUCAAAACUGGUUCCCCUGGAAGUGAAGUUGUUACUCUACAACAGUUUUUGGAAGAAAGCAAUAAGCUUACCUCAAUACAGAUAAAGUCCUCAAGUCAAGAAAAUCUUUUAGAUGAAGUAAUGAAAAGUCUGUCUGUUUCUUCUGACUUUUUGGGAAAAGACAAACCAGUUAGCUGUGGUCUGGCCAGGUCAGUAAGUGGAAAAACCCCAGGGGACUUCUAUGAUAGAUGGACAACUAAGCCUGAGUUUUUGAGACCUGGUCCUCGAAAAACUGAAGAUACCUACUUCAUUAGUUCUGCAGGAAAACCUACACCAGGCACUCAAGGAAAGAUAAAAUUAGUAAAAGAAUCUUCUCUGUCACGACAAUCAAAAGAUAGUAACCCUUAUGCCACUUUACCUCGUGCAAGCAGCGUGAUCUCAACUGCUGAAGGAACUACAAGAAGGACAAGCAUCCAUGAUUUUUUGACCAAGGACAGUAGACUGCCUAUAUCAGUUGAUUCAUCACCAGCUGCUGCUGACAGCAACACCACUGCAGCAUCUAAUGUGGACAAAGUACAAGAAAGCAGAAAUUCAAAAAGCAGGUCUAGGGAGCAACAAAGCUCCUAAUUCUGUUACCCACUACAUGACAUGUGGGCCAAGUGAGAGAAAAGUGUCCUUCAGUUUCUCAGUAUGAAGCCUUUAUUUCUGAAGUAACAAGACACCUAGCAACUAUAGGAAUCAUGUUUUACAAUCUUUAAGGAGACUUUUAACAGUCCUUCGUGAAUAGAGCAGGCAAGAAAUACACACCUUCAUGCCUUGAAUCAAGGAGCACUACUGGAUUCAACUGCCAAAAUUCUUUAAAGGUUUUAGGACUUACUAUACCUUGUACUGUUAAGAUCUACUGAAAAAAGGACGUUCUCUCGCUAAGGACCAAGUGUUUUAAGGUGAAGUGUUUAAAGAAGUACUCCAAGAACAAUCUGCUUUUUUCAUCAUUUGUUUUAUGAAUUUAUCCAUGUUUGCUUAAUGCUUCUGCUAAGUGUUAGCCAAAAUCUAGCCAUUUAUAUUUAGUUGUGUAAACCUAAAUUAAAUGCUGUAGUAUUUUGCGGAAUGUACUAUAUAGCAAUAUACAGAGAAAGUUGUUUUGGCAUGUCAGAGCCUUAUUUGGUUAGCAGACUGCAUGUGUUGGUACUUUUUUUUUCUUAAAGCCAAUUAUUUUGAUGCAAAAGAAAUUCAGUUUAUAAGAUAAAUCUGAAAAAUCCAUAAUGAAAUAGGAGUUAUAAAAAAUUUAUAGUGAUAUUAAUCUUUACAUAUUUCCCAUUAAGCAACACUAAGCAUACAUGCGUUAAUCCACGGUAAAGAGUGUUUUUCUGAAACUUUUUUUAGUAAGAUGGUUUUCCAGCAAAUGGCAUUCCCAAGAUAAAGCUGUUGUGCUUUAACUCAUUUCUUUUCUUUGGUAUUGGGUUAUGUAUGUGUGUGUAUUUUUUUAACUUGAGAGCUGACUGUUGCUUAAGAAGUUUUCUAAUGGCAAAAAGAAUGUAAAUAACUUACUAUGAUCUGCAUUUUGCCAGAAACUCAUUUAUAAUUAAGGCUAUCAUUUAUUAAUGACUUUUUUUCUCCUUUAUAAUAUUACAUUAAAGUUGAUAAUUGUUAUUGGUACUUUUGAAAUAUUUGUAUGCAUUUGUUACCUUUAAACAUUUGGAAGAAGCACAAAAAAAUAGAUUUAGUUAACCCAGGAAACAUCAAUUUUUUUAGUAGUUCCAAUUUUAUAUCACAGUUUUAUUUUCUUAUGAAAUCAAAAAAUGCAUUGAUACUCAUUAAUGCAAAUUCAUUAUUUAACAUCAAUAUCAGAGUAAUCUUCAAGGUCUGAAAUGAGAAAGAUACUGACUUUUUAAAAUUUUAACAGUGUACUUCUUAGGCUUUCAUUACCAGCUCUAAAGAACUUUUUGGAAUAAUUCCAUAUUCCGUAGUGUGUGGUUUAUGAGUUGUGGGUUUCAUCACUAACCCAGUAACCAUGAGAAAAGUCUCUCUCCCUCUGUCUCUCUUUCUCUCUCUCUUUCGUAGGCCAGUAGCAAUGUUGUGUUCACAGUUUGCUUUCCAAAAGACCAUGAAUAAAAAAGAGAGCAUGUUUCAAUUGAAAUGGAACUUAAGAGAACUUGAACUUACUUACAUACUUCAAUGCCACUUAUAACUUAGGUUUUACCACCAAAUGCUGUUAACAUUAAAUCAUUUUGAAACUCUUGGAUGAAAGGUGCUAUGUAAAUGUAAAUACAAAGGAUUCUUACUAACAUACAAAUAAUGCACAACAGAAAUAUUUAAAACCUAUUCUGUAGUCUUUGAAACAUCUCUCUCUGUCAUAACUCCCUGGAUUCAAGUAGCACAUUGGUAAUAGGUGUCAGAGCAGUCUAGAGACACUUGCAUGUCAAAAAAUGUACAUUCAUUUUUAGGUGGAUAAAAGUAAACAUAGAAAUUAUGUUAUGGCUAAAUACAGUAAGUGGGUAACUUAGAUUUAUAUUAGCUAGCAUCUAAUUUGCACAACUAGAACAUAUCCCAGAACAAUUACUGAAAAGCUGAAAUUUAAUGAGUGGUGAGGUAGCCCAAUGAGGGCGAAUGACAUCACAGCUUGACCUCUCCAGAACACUAAUAUCUUAAAAUAGAGAAUAUGCUGCGUUAAGUGCAUUAGUGCUUCAAGCAGAAAAUGCUGAAAAACAGCCUGUAAAGUACUGAAUCUGAGUAGGCUGACCCUGAGAAGGGACAGUUAAAGAGACAACCAAGGGAACACAUUGAGACUACAAAAAUAUGAAUAAUCUCAAUUAUAUUCAUCACACUUUUUUCAUACCAUUUCAAGAAAGGACUAGAUAAGAGUAACCACAUGAAUAUUUUACUUUCUCCAGUAUACCUUGAGAAGCAAACUUUGUAGGAAGCCACUCUUCUCCCUUAAACUUCUGCCAAACAAUAAUAAAGUCAACUGGAAACUAAUUGGAGCCGUUUUAACUGGGGCCUGACAUGCUUUAAAUUAUCUGGCUCUAUUCUAAAUCAACACCUAAACCCCCAAGGAAACUGCAGAAUCAAUAUACAGGGUAAUAGCUUUGGUUCAGAGCUCCAAUAGUGUGCUUCAGAUCUGUCCAUGUGGAAACGCUUUUGUCCAAAUUUUUUAAUUGGUGGUUACCAAAGAGUUCACAAAACAGGUUUUUUUUGUUUUUGUUUUUUUGAGACGGAGUCUCGCUCUGUCGCCCAGGCUGGAGUGCAGUGGCCGGAUCUCAGCUCACUGCAAGCUCCGCCUCCCGGGUUUACGCCAUUCUCCUGCCUCAGCCUCCCGAGUAGCUGGGACUACAGGCGGCCGCCACCUCGCCCGGCUAGUUUUUUGUAUUUUUUAGUAGAGACGGGGUUUCACCGUGUUAGCCAGGAUGGUCUCGAUCUCCUGACCUCGUGAUCCGCCCGUCUCGGCCUCCCAAAGUGCUGGGAUUACAGGCUUGAGCCACCGCGCCCGGCCUCACAAAACAGGUUUGUAUGUAGCACCUUUCAUGCAAGGCAUGCUAAAAGCCUAUUUUAAAAUCACUGUGCAUAUUAUAGAAUUGUAGCCACCUCCCAAUGAAGUACUACAGCCUGUGCUGUCUUAAUGGUUUGUGUCAGGAAAUGAAAAAGAUACUGUACCAAAUCUGGAAUUACAAUGGGGAGUAAUAAUGUAUGCUAAAUGACUUUUGUAUUUUAAGUUACUUUUUGUGAGUGGUGAAUUUUGUGUUUUCUUUUCAGCUAUACUUAGUCCUGAGAUGUAUUUUUUCUUUAAGUCUUGAAUGAAUACAAAAGGAGCCCAUUUUAUAAUAUAAACCUUGAUGUACAUGUUGAGAUAUCUGGACAAUGAAAAUGCCUUAAAAGGAAUGCAUAUGGAUAAAGUUGCACUUAUAACACCCUUCAACAAAAUCUGAUUUUAAAUUGUCUUUUCUUUUCUAUUAAGGGUUUUCUUUUCAGUGUCUACCAUUGUACUUAUAACUGUUAUUAAAUACCAAAUCAAAUAAUAUAAAAGCUGUAACAUUUCCUUUAAAACUAAUGCUAAUAAGGGAUUUAGAAUUGAAUGGCAAAAUGUUUAUUACUUGGCAAUACCUGAUGUCAGUCACAGGCAUCCAACUCAUGACAAGAGAUACCACUGUUUGUUUUUUAAAAAACAUUUUUCAUUUUGGUACUCCUUCAAAAAUUAAGUUGGACUAACAUUCACAUAUCCAACUAAUAUAAAAGAAAUAAAACCAAGAGGUGAUUUUUGUAACAAAUGGUUAGUAAUCAUUUAAAAAUGAUAUCAUUUUAGCCAAGUGUUAUUUUAUUUCUUUCCGUUUUCCCUAGAGAACUAUUGUCAGACAUAACCGAUGACCUUGUUUAGUUGAUUCUGUCAUAACAUUUUAUGAUAAGUGUUAGGGGUUUGGAAAGAGCGUCUGUCAGUUUUGUCAGUCCCAAAAUAGGUUUAAAUGUGAUCUAAUAGAUUGCACAAAUGAAUCUCUCAUUUUCACUUAGACUUUAGGAGACAAAGCAACUGGCUUCAUCCUUGGGCAAGUCAGUUUUUCUGGGCCUGUUUUAACCAUAAAGUGGAGAGGGCAAUUAGACCAAACACCUAAGGUACUUAAUUUAUGUGUAUUCAUUAGUACCUUCAUUUCAUAUGCAGAGCAACCUAAAACAGC